AGCCACAUCCUCAAAUGCCACUGAGUCCUGAAAUAUUUCACAUGUGCAGAGGAGGAAUAUUAAAACUGAAGGCACUGGGAAUGUAAAUUCACUUCAUAACCUUCACAUGAUGCUGUGGUUUCCAAGCAUUUAUUCAAGAACAUGUGGGUCUGCAGUUCUUGUCAUGACAAAGUCCUACUACCUAUUGUGCAAAAGAGAGUUACCAGCAAGAAGGCUCUCACCAGAUGCCCAGCCUUGAUGCUGGGCUUCCCACCCUCCAGAAGUGUAAAAAAUAAAUAUCAUUUCUUAUAAAUUA